rnacentral:rRNA from 1 species
CCUGGCGGCGAUAGCGCGGUGGUCCCACCUGACCCCAUGCCGAACUCAGAAGUGAAACGCCGUAGCGCCGAUGGUAGUGUGGGGCUUCCCAUGUGAGAGUAGGGAACUGCCAGGU